rnacentral:rRNA from 1 species
ACCAGACUCCUACGGGAGGCAGCAGUGGGGAAUAUUGCACAAUGGGGGAAACCCUGAUGCAGCGACGCCGCGUGAGUGAAGAAGUAUUUCGGUAUGUAAAGCUCUAUCAGCAGGGAAGAAAAUGACGGUACCUGAUUAAGAAGCCCCGGCUAACUACGUGCCAGCAGCCGCGGUAAUACGUAGGGGGCAAGCGUUAUCCGGAUUUACUGGGUGUAAAGGGAGCGUAGACGGCAGCGCAAGUCUGAAGUGAAAUGCCGGGGCUUAACCCCGGAACUGCUUUGGAAACUUUUUUGCUGGAGUACCGGAGAGGUAAGCGGAAUUCCUAGUGUAGCGGUGAAAUGCGUAGAUAUUAGGAGGAACACCAGUGGCGAAGGCGGCUUACUGGACGGUAACUGACGUUGAGGCUCGAAAGCGUGGGGAGCAAACAGGAUUAGAUACCCCUGUACC